GGCCGCGAAUUCGCCCUUAGGGUUUGAUUAUGGCUCAGAACGAACGCUGGCGGCAGGCUUAACACAUGCAAGUCGAGCGCCCCGCAAGGGGAGCGGCAGACGGGUGAGUAACGCGUGGGAACGUACCAUUUGCUACGGAAUAACUCAGGGAAACUUGUGCUAAUACCGUAUGAGCCCUUCGGGGGAAAGAUUUAUCGGCAAAUGAUCGGCCCGCGUUGGAUUAGCUAGUUGGUGGGGUAAAGGCCUACCAAGGCGACGAUCCAUAGCUGGUCUGAGAGGAUGAUCAGCCACACUGGGACUGAGACACGGCCCAGACUCCUACGGGAGGCAGCAGUGGGGAAUAUUGGACAAUGGGCGCAAGCCUGAUCCAGCCAUGCCGCGUGAGUGAUGAAGGCCCUAGGGUUGUAAAGCUCUUUCACCGGUGAAGAUAAUGACGGUAACCGGAGAAGAAGCCCCGGCUAACUUCGUGCCAGCAGCCGCGGUAAUACGAAGGGGGCUAGCGUUGUUCGGAUUUACUGGGCGUAAAGCGCACGUA
rnacentral:rRNA from 1 species